rnacentral:lncRNA from 1 species
UCUCUUCUCUUCCCUUCAGUUUUUCAUUUCUUCUUCUAUUUUGACCUAACGGCUGUGCCUGUGCUGUGGCUGCUCAAAUCUUCAAUCCAGAGCUGCACCUCUGCUGCGGCUGUGCCUGUGCCGCUUCCUCAUCGAUUUCACGAUCUCCCGCCCAGGCCUAGGUAUCAUCCCUUCUCUCUCUCUCUCUCUCUCUCUCUCUCUCUCUCUCUCUCAAGUCGACCUCAGCCUAACCCACAUCACCCCUCUCUGUUUCAGGCACACACAACACAAACCCGAUCAAGAGCCGCCACAACCACCUCCAUUGCCGAAGGUAAAUUCUCUCGUCUGUGCAUUGUAGGGUUUUUAUUUUUAUUUUUUUUUUGCUUUGAAAUUUAUACCUAUAUCAGAAUGAUAUAUGCUAUGGGAGCUAUGGGAAGUGUUUUCUGUUAAAUCAGAAGUGUGCGGUGAUGAGGCUAUUUGUGGACUAGAGUUUAUGAUCUGGGUUCUUCUCCCAAAAGUUUGAUUACAAACCCUUGGCUGUCUGAGCACUCUUAAUCUGUUUUCUCUUAUCUUCCAAUCUGUAGUUUUGAAAAGUGCUUUGUUCCAAAGUCACCCGUAUAAUCUUUUUGACUUUCUGGCAAAACCCAUAAAAAUUUUCUCAAAUUUAUUGGCUUUUUUUUUUUUGCUGUAAAAUUGUUCUUGUUUGGUAGGGUUUAUAUGGCAGUAUGGAGCUUAUGAUGAUAAUUUUUAAAUAUCUUAGCGGAUUUCAGUGAGACCUUAGGGUGAAUGAUCUGAUUGUUACACACACUGAGGCUCAAAUUUUAAUUAUUUUUCCUUCAAAUUUUCACAGUAGUUUUGGUUUGGUUUAAAGCGUGCAAAUCUUGAUUUGUUGGGUUGUGGUUUGCGAUGAUGAGAUGAAACACUGGACGUGUUUUGGGCAGUGGACAAGCUCAUUCUUACAAAACGACUUCUCCUUCCACUGAGCUCCAUUCCCACAUAAUCAAGUUUUAAAUUUAAUCUAGUAAAAUUGAAAACCAAAUUGUAUAUAUCAAAAUGAUAUAUACCUAUAACAGAUUUGUGGCACACACUUCCCAAAAACUGCCCAUCUAAACCAUUCUUAGAUUCUGGAAGUUGGCCUGCUUUCCCUUUGGCAAAUUCCAGUAAAUUUGAGAGAUUAUUUUGGGAGCUCUCAUUUAGGAUCGAUAGCCCUUGAUUUUGCAAGCAGCAGAUCUGUGUCCACAUCUCCUUAUCUAGCUUAAGGGUCAAAGCACCAUGUGUAUAUUCUCAUGCCUAAGAGAAUCAACUUCAAGCUUUGUAUUAAUUUUUUUUUUUUUGAAUGAUUUAUGGUUACAUAAGUUUUAAAUUGUGUGGCUUUUGAGACUGUUUUGAUUUGAGCAUGAAAGAAAUUUGGUUUGAAUUUUAGGGUUUUUGUAGAGCAGUGGGUAUUUUAGGGUAUUUGGUUUGAAAUUGGUUUGAAUUUAUGAAAGGAAUGAAGCUUGUUUGUAACCUAACCCUAGUUUUGUUUUGAUUCACAGUUGUUUUGCAUUUCUGCUGCUGUGAGCUUUGAAAGUAUCGGAAAUUUUGCUUAAAUGGAGGUAAAUUGCUUCUAACCCUAUUUUUGUUUUGUUUUGAGUUAAUAUGUAAUCUGUAAUCUGCAAUCUGUUUUGUUUUAAUAUGUAAUCUGUAAUCUGUAAUCUGUUUAGUUUUAAUAUGUAAUAUGUAAUCUGCUGCUAUAAUCUAUAAUCUGUUUUAUUGAUUCUGUGUGUGUUUUAAAUCCGUUUUGACUUUUUUUAAAUAUGUUUUUUUGGAUAAUAUACAUGUUGUCAUCUGUUUAUGGAUAUGAAAGUCUGUUUUCACAGUUUAAAUCUGUUUGUUUGGAUAAUAUAUAUGUUUUAAUCCAUUUAUGGAUAGGAAAGUAAUAUUUAGGAGUGAUUAAAUCUGGUAAUUGGAUUGUAUCUGUUUUAGUCUAUUUAUGGAUAGGAAUACUUUGUUUUGACUCUGUUGAAAUCUGGUUUUUGGAUAGAAUAUAUGUUGAAAUCUGGUUUUUGGAUAGAAAAUUCUGUUUUGACUCUGUUUAAAUUUGGUUCUUGGAUAGGAUAUAUGUUUAGAGAGUUGUAUGGAUAGGAAAAUCUGUUUUGACAGUUUACAUGUGUUUUAUAUAUUAUAGGAUAUAUGUUUUAAUCUGUUUAUGGAUAGGAAAACUUUGUUUGACUGUGUUUAAAUAUAUUUUUAAUUUGUUUAUGGAUAGGAACCAGCUUCUAUUGAGGCUCAUUUGCCUGGGAAUGAUGAUUCUAUACCAUGUAGUGAUGCUGUUGUACCUCCAACAGCGUCACAAAAUCCAACACCAUCACCAUUAGAACCUAGUACCGGGAAAA